rnacentral:lncRNA from 1 species
CGCCAUUCGAUAGAUGAUAAAAUUGAAGCACAGAGAGGGUAAGUAACUCACACCAGGUCACACAGCUCCCAAGUGGCAGAGUUGGAACUCAACCGUGGAGGUCUGGCUUGGGACUCUGAGCUCCUGACACUACAGGCCGUUGACGGUAGUGUCCAUUCGCUGUGAGCCAGGCUUUUGACUGCGGUCCUGUUGUCGCUCCCACCAUGGGUUGCGUAGCUCACUCUGCUUCUCUGUUCUCGCUUAUCUAGUUCACCCUAGAAGUCGGUUCACCGGGCUUCGCUACCGUGAUGCAGCAGCGCUGGUUCAGGAAGCCAUAAACGCGGGGGAAGUCUGCUGUCCUGGGUAAACGUAGGUUCUCUGGCAUCGUUCUGCUUUUUCGUUUGUUUGUUGUUGAAAUUCCCCCUCCUUAUCUCUGCUCUUCUGGUGGGUGUAGACCAGCCCCGGGUUUUCCUCUGUUUAAAAUUCUGGAUGUGAAGUUAGUCAACAAUUUACGUGAGUGAACAUAUGUGCCGGAAGUGGAAACAGCUGGCGCUGGGGAGGCUGGUGGCCCUGGGAUGUUUUCCCCACAGGACACACAAGUGGUGAGAAGAAAGGCCGUGGCUCCGCGGCCAGGACAAGGGCUACCUGCAGCCUCGCCCUUUGAAGUAGACAUUCUUCUCAUCUCUGUUUUACAAAGGAAGAAACGGAGACACAGAGACAUUAAGCAACUUGCCCAAGGCCACACAGCCACUUUUUUAUACCCUCUGACCCUGCUCACUGCGGUCCAGAAUGCACUGCUCCAUCUACUACAGAUCACUGCUGGGUCCACCCACCCUUUUGACUUGGAGUGGAAAAGAAACCAUCACCAAGUCAACGGCUGUAUACCAUGGACCUCAGACUGUGCUAAUCUGCUGUAACAGAGACACCACAACUGGCAGCGCAGCUGCAAUUAGAGCAUGAAGAGGGGAAGUGAGGCAGAAGACGAGACCAGAAGUGCAGAUUGGUGCCAGAUUGCAAAGGGCCCUGAAGGGCUCACAAUGGGAUUGGACCAUGGCCUGAAUACGUGAGGAGUCCCCACAGUCCAAGGCAGGUCUGGCAGCCACUCCCCAUCUCAUAGGACUGCCAUCUGGAACUCACAUCCUUCAAACUUGCCGUGAAAGGAGAAGCAGGACUAUGGGACAAAGCAGGAUGUUUUGAAGAGCCAGGCCUGGAAGCUUCUCUGUAUAGGACAGAAUUCAG